rnacentral:tRNA from 1 species
UAGCUCAGAUGGUAAAGCAUCUGCCUACAAUGCAGAAGACCCGGGUUUGAUCCCUGG